rnacentral:rRNA from 1 species
UGGAGGGGGAUAACUACUGGAAACGGUAGCUAAUACCGCAUAAUGUCGCAAGACCAAAGUGGGGGACCUUCGGGCCUCAUGCCAUCAGAUGUGCCCAGAUGGGAUUAGCUAGUAGGUGGGGUAAUGGCUCACCUAGGCGACGAUCCCUAGCUGGUCUGAGAGGAUGACCAGCCACACUGGAACUGAGACACGGUCCAGACUCCUACGGGAGGCAGCAGUGGGGAAUAUUGCACAAUGGGCGCAAGCCUGAUGCAGCCAUGCCGCGUGUGUGAAGAAGGCCUUCGGGUUGUAAAGCACUUUCAGCGGGGAGGAAGGCGAUAAGGUUAAUAACCUUGUCGAUUGACGUUACCCGCAGAAGAAGCACCGGCUAACUCCGUGCCAGCAGCCGCGGUAAUACGGAGGGUGCAAGCGUUAAUCGGAAUUACUGGGCGUAAAGCGCACGCAGGCGGUCUGUCAAGUCGGAUGUGAAAUCCCCGGGCUCAACCUAGGAACUGCAUUCGAAACUGGCAGGCUAGAGUCUUGUAGAGGGGGGUAGAAUUCCAGGUGUAGCGGUGAAAUGCGUAGAGAUCUGGAGGAAUACCGGUGGCGAAGGCGGCCCCCUGGACAAAGAC